AAACCAUGUUGUGGGCAUGAGCUAACAAGAUCCUUGAAUCACUCCCAACAUUGGAAUAAUGUCUUAUCUUCAUUUUGGGCGAAAUUCAUAAUCAGCUUCCUGAUGGU